GGCUGCCUUAACUCUGGGAUAAGCCUGGGAAACUGGGUCUAAUACCGGAUAGGAGCGCCUACCGCAUGGUGGGUGUUGGAAAGAUUUAUCGGUUUUGGAUGGACUCGCGGCCUAUCAGCUUGUUGGUGAGGUAAUGGCUCACCAAGGCGACGACGGGUAGCCGGCCUGAGAGGGUGACCGGCCACACUGGGACUGAGACACGGCCCAGACUCCUACGGGAGGCAGCAGUGGGGAAUAUUGCACAAUGGGCGCAAGCCUGAUGCAGCGACGCCGCGUGAGGGAUGACGGCCUUCGGGUUGUAAACCUCUUUCAGUAGGGAAGAAGCGAAAGUGACGGUACCUGCAGAAGAAGCACCGGCUAACUACGUGCCAGCAGCCGCGGUAAUACGUAGGGUGCGAGCGUUAUCCGGAAUUAUUGGGCGUAAAGAGCUCGUAGGCGGUUUGUCGCGUCUGUCGUGAAAGUCCGGGGCUUAACCCCGGAUCUGCGGUGGGUACGGGCAGACUAGAGUGCAGUAGGGGAGACUGGAAUUCCUGGUGUAGCGGUGGAAUGCGCAGAUAUCAGGAGGAACACCGAUGGCGAAGGCAGGUCUCUGGGCUGUAACUGACGCUGAGGAGCGAAAGCAUGGGGAGCGAACAGGAUUAGAUACCCUGGUAGUCCAUGCCGUAAACGUUGGGCACUAGGUGUGGGGACCAUUCCACGGUUUCCGCGCCGCAGCUAACGCAUUAAGUGCCCCGCCUGGGGAGUACGGCCGCAAGGCUAAAACUCAAAGGAAUUGACGGGGGCCCGCACAAGCGGCGGAGCAUGCGGAUUAAUUCGAUGCAACGCGAAGAACCUUACCAAGGCUUGACAUGUUCUCGAUCGCCGUAGAGAUACGGUUUCCCCUUUGGGGCGGGUUCACAGGUGGUGCAUGGUUGUCGUCAGCUCGUGUCGUGAGAUGUUGGGUUAAGUCCCGCAACGAGCGCAACCCUCGUUCCAUGUUGCCAGCACGUAAUGGUGGGGACUCAUGGGAGACUGCCGGGGUCAACUCGGAGGAAGGUGAGGACGACGUCNAAUCAUCAUGCCCCUUAUGUCUUGGGCUUCACGCAUGCUACAAUGGCCGGUACAAUGGGUUGCGAUACUGUGAGGUGGAGCUAAUCCCAAAAAGCCGGUCUCAGUUCGGAUUGGGGUCUGCAACUCGACCCCAUGAAGUCGGAGUCGCUAGUAAUCGCAGAUCAGCAACGGAGCGGUGAACAAG
rnacentral:rRNA from 1 species